UAGCAAAGUUAGCCUUGAGCUCCGCCGCAGUGAGGGUAAAUGCCGGGAGGUUUGGGAUAGCCUCCGACGCCAGCGACGUUCUUCCAUCGAAUCUCCCCGUGGGUAAAUUAUAAUAGAGUCCACUAGUCUGCUCCACAUUAGAAUUUAAAGUUUUAACCGAGGAGUUCUUGCAAAACUUACCAGGAAGAAAGAGUCCCGGGCCGAGAGGGCGAGGACAUCUGCGCACGACACAACGUUUCCACACACGGCGGUGAUGGCGUCUUUGGCUUCGUCGAUGAUCUCG
rnacentral:lncRNA from 1 species